rnacentral:lncRNA from 1 species
UACACAUGGGACAAGGCUUCCAUCUACAGCACCUCCCCCCAAACCAAAAACCUCAGUGAUCUCUCUUUAAGAAAUCAACUCCUCCCAAGGAGAUUUCUCUUCUCCUUUCCUCCGCCAUUGUGCACACUGCGCCUGAUUCAGAUUCUCGCCAUGUCUUCUCACAAGACUUUCAGAAUCGAGUGAUUCCUGGCAAAGAAACAAAAGCAAAAUCGUCCUGUUCCUCAAUGGAUUCGAAUGAAAACUGGUAACAAAAUCAGGUAC